GAUGAACGCUAGCGGCAGGCUUAACACAUGCAAGUCGAGGGGCAGCAUGAACCGACCUUCGGGAAGGUUUGAUGGCGACCGGCGCAAGGGUGCGUAACGCGUGAGCAACUUGCCCGUUUCUGGGGAAUAACCGGUGGAAACGCCGACUAAUACCCCAUAGCAUUGACUUUGGGCAUCCUUAGUCAAUUAAAGAAUUUCGGAAACGGAUAGGCUCGCGUGACAUUAGCUGGAUGGCGGGUAACGGCCCACCAUGGCUACGAUGUCUAGGGGUUCUGAGAGGAAGGUCCCCCCACACUGGAACUGAGACACGGUCCAGACUCCUACGGGAGGCAGCAGUGAGGAAUAUUGGUCAAAUGGUCUGACGACUGAACCAGCCA
rnacentral:rRNA from 1 species